rnacentral:rRNA from 1 species
UACGAAGGGGGCGAGCGUUGUUCGGAUUUACUGGGCGUAAAGGGCGCGCAGGCGGCUAUCCAAGUCAGGCGUGAAAGCCCCGGGCUUAACCUGGGAGGUGCGUCUGGGACUGGGUGGCUAGAGUUCGGGAGAGGAGAGUGGAAUUCCCAGUGUAGAGGUGAAAUUCGUAGAUAUUGGGAAGAACACCGGUGGUGAAGGCGGCUCUCUGGACCGAGACUGACGCUGAGGCGCGAAAGCGUGGGGAGCAAACAGG